GAUGAACGCUAGCGGCAGGCCUAACACAUGCAAGUCGAGGGGUAGAAGGAGCUUGCUCCUUUGAGACCGGCGCACGGGUGCGUAACGCGUAUGCAAUCUACCUUGUACAGGGGAAUAGCCCAGAGAAAUUUGGAUUAAUGCCCCAUAGUAUAUAACCUUCGCAUGUUGGUUAUAUUAAAGUUCCAACGGUACAAGAUGAGCAUGCGUCCCAUUAGUUAGUUGGUAAGGUAACGGCUUACCAAGACGAUGAUGGGUAGGGGUCCUGAGAGGGAGAUCCCCCACACUGGUACUGGGACACGGCCCAGACUCCUACGGGAGGAAGCAGUGAGGAAUAUUGGUCAAGGGUCGCAAGACUGAACCAGCCAUGCCGCGGGCAGGAAGACGGUCCUUUGGAUUGUAAACUGCUUUUAUACAGGAAAAAACCCUCCCACGUGUGGGAGCUGGGCGGUACUUAAGGAAUAAGGAUCGGCUAACUCCGU
rnacentral:rRNA from 1 species